ACGAUUAUGUCACGUUGAAACAUCGGUUCUCGUCCGAUCACCUUAGUUAAGCAACAUCGAGCCUGAUCAGUACCUAGAUGGGUGACCGCUUGAGAAGAAUCAGGUGUUGUAA